rnacentral:rRNA from 1 species
UCUUCCACAAUGGACGAAAGUCUGAUGGAGCAACGCCGCGUGAGUGAAGAAGGGUUUCGGCUCGUAAAGCUCUGUUGGUAGUGAAGAAAGAUAGAGGCAGUAACUGGCCUUUAUUUGACGGUAAUUACUUAGAAAGUCACGGCUAACUACGUGCC